CGGUGAGUGGUGUAGUUUAGUAGCAAUAUGCGUUCAGGACGUAUAGGUCGGAGGUUCAAAUUCUUCCUCACCGA
rnacentral:tRNA from 1 species